rnacentral:rRNA from 1 species
ACUCCUACGGGAGGCAGCAGUGGGGAAUAUUGCACAAUGGGGAAACCCUGAUGCAGCCAUGCCGCGUGUGUGAAGAAGGCCUUCGGUUGUAAGCACUUUCAGUAGGAGGAAGGUAGUGUAGUUAACACCUGCAUUAUUUGUACGUUACCUACAGAAGAAGCACCGGCUAACUCCGUGCCAGCAGCCGCGGUAAUACGGAGGGUGCGAGCGUUAAUCGGAAUUACUGGCGUAAAGCGCAUGCAGGCGGCCUGUUAAGUCAGAUGUGAAAGCCCGGGGGCUUAACCUCGGAAUUGCAUUUGAAACUGGCAGGCUAGAGUCUUGUAGAGGGGGUAGGAAUUUCAGGUGUAGCGGUGAAAUGCGUAG